ACCGGAGCUAAUACCGGAUAAUAUAUUGAACCGCAUGGUUCAAUAGUGAAAGACGGUUUUGCUGUCACUUAUAGAUGGAUCCGCGCCGCAUUAGCUAGUUGGUAAGGCAACGGCUUACCAAGGCAACGAUGCGUAGCCGACCUGAGAGGGUGAUCGGCCACACUGGAACUGAGACACGGUCCAG
rnacentral:rRNA from 1 species